GACGAACGCUGGCGGCGUGCUUAACACAUGCAAGUCGAGCGGUAAGGCCCUUUCGGGGGGUACACGAGCGGCGAACGGGUGAGUAACACGUGGGUGACCUGCCCUCAGCUCUGGGAUAAGCCUGGGAAACUGGGUCUAAUACUGGAUAUGACUCCACGGUGCAUGUCGUGGGGUGGAAAGCCUUGUGCGGCUGAGGAUGGGCCCGCGGCCUAUCAGCUUGUUGGUGGGGUGANGGCCUACCAAGGCGACGACGGGUAGCCGGCCUGAGAGGGCGACCGGCCACACUGGGACUGAGACACGGCCCAGACUCCUACGGGAGGCAGCAGUGGGGAAUCUUGCGCAAUGGGCGAAAGCCUGACGCAGCGACGCCGCGUGAGGGAUGACGGCCU
rnacentral:rRNA from 1 species